UUAAAGUCUAUGAAAGAGAGAGUAGGCAGUAUUGGUAUGAAGAGAGGGAAAGGUUGGUGAAAUUUCCUUACUGAUAGUGUUGAAGUUCACUCUGGAGAUUCAUCUUUGAACAAAAGUAGGAGAUGACGUUCACCGCGUUAAGGUUUCAAGUGAUUCGCAAUAGCGAUUAAUUUGGGUGGUACCGCGGAGAUAGCUUCGUCCCAUUA
rnacentral:ncRNA from 1 species